AUUGAACGCUGGCGGCAGGCCUAACACAUGCAAGUCGAGCGGUAGCACAGAGAGCUUGCUCUCGGGUGACGAGCGGCGGACGGGUGAGUAAUGUCUGGGAAACUGCCCGAUGGAGGGGGAUAACUACUGGAAACGGUAGCUAAUACCGCAUAACGUCGCAAGACCAAAGAGGGGGUCCUUCGGGCCUCUUGCCAUCGGAUGUGCCCAGAUGGGAUUAGCUAGUAGGUGGGGUAACGGCUCACCUAGGCGACGAUCCCUAGCUGGUCUGAGAGGAGGACAAGCCACACUGGAACUGGGACACGGUCCAGACUCCUACGGGAGGCAGCAGUGGGGAAUAUUGCACAAUGGGCGCAAGCCUGAUGCAGCCAUGCCGCGUGUAUGAAGAAGGCCUUCGGGUUGUAAAGUACUUUCAGCGGGGAGGAAGGCGAUAAGGUUAAUAACCUUGUCGAUUGACGUUACCCGCAGAAGAAGCACCGGCUAACUCCGUGCCAGCAGCCGCCGUAACAC
rnacentral:rRNA from 1 species